rnacentral:rRNA from 1 species
UACAUGAGUAACUAACGUUAGUCCCAAUAGUUAGGUGUAAAAAAUAUUUAGAUCGUAUAAUAAAUUAUAUAAAUUAUAUAAAUUAUAUAAAAAAUAUUAAUAUUUAAUUAUAAUCAACAAUAUUAUUGGUUUAUAAAGAUAAAAUUUUUAUUUACCAUAUAUAAUCGAUAUAUGAAAAUUUUUUAAAAUUAAUAUUUGUUAUUUAGAUAUGAAAGUAUAGGAGGUGAAAAGGAUUAGAGACCCUUGUAAUCUAUACAUUAAAAUAUGAGUAUUUAUAGUUUAUACUAUUAAUUUAACGAGUAAUUACUCUACCAGGGUGUAAAAUCGCAAGGUUGAAACUUAAAAAUAUUGGCGGGAUUUAGUCAGAUGGUGGGACAUGUGAUUUAAUUCGGUAAUCCUCGCAAAAUCUUACUAAUAUGAGUAAAAAUAAUAUAUAAAAAAAAAUUUUUUAUAUAAAUUUUUAUUUGGCACUGCAUGGCUGUCGUCAGUUCGAAGUUGUAAAAUUUAAAAUUGAGUUUUAUUCUCGAACGCAACUCUAACUUUACUUUGUGUAAAGAACAAAAUAUAAUUUAUAUUUUUGUCUUGUUAGAAUAACGUCAAGUCUUUAUGAUCUUAGAAUAUUAGGCUAUACAUUUGUCACAAUGGUAAAAACAAUAAGUUUUUUAUUUUUAACAAAAAAAAAUCUAUAAAAAUUACCUUAGUUCGAAUUAAUUUAUGGAACUCUAAAUUAUGAAGAAGGAAUCAUUAGUAAUCGUAAAAUAGUACGUUACGGUGAAAUGGUUUACACUAAAUUUGUACACACCGCCCAUCACGCUCGGAGCGUUUUAAUUAUUAAAGUAGGCGAGUUUAAGUUUAUUUUAUUAAAAAUUAAAAAAUUAUUUUUUUUUUUUUAAAACCUAAUUAAAUAAUUAAAGUUAUUUGAGUGAAG